GACGAACGCUGGCGGCGUGCUUAACACAUGCAAGUCGAACGGAAAGGCCCUGCUUUUGUGGGGUGCUCGAGUGGCGAACGGGUGAGUAACACGUGAGUAACCUGCCCUUGACUUUGGGAUAACUUCAGGAAACUGGGGCUAAUACCGGAUAGGAGCUCCUGCUGCAUGGUGGGGGUUGGAAAGUUUCGGCGGUUGGGGAUGGACUCGCGGCUUAUCAGCUUGUUGGUGGGGUAGUGGCUUACCAAGGCUUUGACGGGUAGCCGGCCUGAGAGGGUGACCGGCCACAUUGGGAAUGAGAUACGGCCCAGACUCCUACGGGAGGGAGCAGUGGGGAAUAUUGCACAAUGGGCGGAAGCCUGAUGCAGCAACGCCGCGUGCGGGAUGACGGCCUUCGGGUUGUAAACCGCUUUCGCCUGUGACGAAGCGUGAGUGACGGUAAUGGGUAAAGAAGCACCGGCUAACUACGUG
rnacentral:rRNA from 1 species